rnacentral:rRNA from 1 species
AACGAACGCUGGCGGCAUGCCUAACACAUGCAAGUCGAACGUCCUCUCUCGCAAGAGAGAGGGAGUGGCGGACGGGUGAGUAACACAUGGGUCACCUACCCUUAAGUGAGGAAUACCGGCGAGAAAUCGCCGACAAGACCGCAUAGGCUCUCUCUUUUGCAAGAGAGAGCAAAGCUUCGCAAGAGGCGCUUGAGGAUGGGCCUGUGGCCGAUUAGCUGGNGGUAGGGUAAUGGCUUACCAAGGCGACGAUCGGUAGCUGGUCUGAGAGGACGAUCAGCCACACUGGGAUUGAGAACGG